rnacentral:rRNA from 1 species
UACAGAGGUGGCAAGCGUUGUUCGGAAUUACUGGGCGUAAAGGGCGCGUAGGCGGUCCGAUAAGUCCCGUGUGAAAGCCCCCGGCUCAACUGGGGAACUGCACGGGAAACUGACGGACUUGAGUUCGGGAGAGGGAAGCGGAAUUCCGGGUGUAGCGGUGAAAUGCGUAGAUAUCCGGAGGAACACCGGUGGCGAAGGCGGCUUCCUGGACCGACACUGACGCUGAGGCGCGAAAGCUAGGGGAGCAAACAGG